GAUGAACGCUGGCGGCGUGCUUAACACAUGCAAGUCGAGCGAAGCUCCUUUGUUGAUUUCUUCGGAUUGAAACAAAGGAUGACUGAGCGGCGGACGGGUGAGUAACGCGUGGAGAACCUGCCCCGUACCGGGGGAUAACAGUUAGAAAUGACUGCUAAUACCGCAUAAGCGCACACUAUCGCAUGAUAGAGUGUGAAAAACUCCGGUGGUACGGGAUGGCUCCGCGUUGGAUUAGCCAGUUGGCGGGGUAACGGCCCACCAAAGCGACGAUCCAUAGCCGGCCUGAGAGGGCGACCGGCCACAUUGGGACUGAGACACGGCCCAAACUCCUACGGGAGGCAGCAGUGGGGAAUAUUGCACAAUGGGGGAAACCCUGAUGCAGCGACGCCGCGUGAACGAAGAAGUAUUUCGGUAUGUAAAGUUCUAUCAGCAGGGAAGAAAAUGACGGU
rnacentral:rRNA from 1 species